rnacentral:rRNA from 1 species
UACGUAGGGUGCAAGCGUUAAUCGGAAUUACUGGGCGUAAAGCGUGCGCAGGCGGCUUUGCAGACAGAUGUGAAAAUCCCCGGGCUUAACCUGGGAACUGCAUUUGUGACUGCAUGGCUGGAGUGCGGCAGAGGGGGAUGGAAUUCCGCGUGUAGCAGUGAAAUGCGUAGAUAUGCGGAGGAACACCAAUGGCGAAGGCAAUCUCCUGGACCUGCACUGACGCUCAUGCACGAAAGCGUGGGAGCAAACAGG